UACGGAGGCAGCAGUGGGGAAUAUUGCACAAUGGGCGGAAGCCUGAUGCAGCAACGCCGCGUGCGGGAUGACGGCCUUCGGGUUGUAAACCGCUUUCGCCUGUGACGAAGCGUGAGUGACGGUAAUGGGUAAAGAAGCACCGGCUAACUACGUGCCAGCAGCCGCGGUAAU
rnacentral:rRNA from 1 species